rnacentral:SRP_RNA from 1 species
CCGUGCUAGACGGGGAGCUAGCGGUGCCCUGAACCCGCAAUCCGCUAUAGCGGGGUUGAAUUCCCGCUCGAGGUCUUGGUACCGCAGGGACUGCCCUCGAUAAGUAGCGUUGAUGACCUGGCCCUGCGCGGCGAAGCGCUACGAACCCCGUCAGGUCCGGAAGGAAGCAGCGGUAAGUAGUUAGUUUCGGGUGCCGCAGGUCAACCUGGUUGGAGCUGGCUGUCGGGAGCAAGCCUACGGGCCGGAUCGACAGCGGGUGCACGG